rnacentral:lncRNA from 1 species
CAUUACCUAAUCAAAUUUAAAAAAAAGUUUUCUGCUUGUUGUUUUCAGCCUGGAUUUCCAUUUGCUGAAAAAGCUAUAUUUUCUAAGGGAACUCUUGGGCAACCUCAGACUCAGAGAUUUCACAAAUGUAGUGUCCUCAGCAGAAGCUCUUCCUCCCCGCUUAGAACUCUGCAUUUCUGCUCCCUCUACUUCCCCUAUAUCUCCCAUAAGGAUUCGCUUUCUCUGUUCCCUUAGUUCUUCUUCUCAGAGACUCAGAAGUAGCAACAGAAGAGUCAGCGUCCUGCCCCUCCUACUGCCUACCCAGGUUCCAGACUGAGGAGGCAUGAGGUGAGAUGUUCUUACCCCCUAAAUGCCUGAAGAAGUCCAGAAUGGCCAGAGAAGCCCCACUGCUGCUGUUCCUGACGUUACUGGGAAUCUCAGGCUUCCAGGAAACAAAAAAUUUGGACCACAAGUACUUAAGAGAAGGGCAGACGUUGAAUGUCAGCUGCUCAUACCCUCUCGAGGACCAAGAGAAGUCUUGGAAAGUUUGGUGUAAACUACAAGAGAAUAAAAAGGAUUGUAACAGAUUAGUGGUCAUAAAAAAAUUCUGGGUUUUCACCAAAGAAGGUAAAUUCUCCCUUCAAUUCAUUGAUAAGUCUAAGUCUGGCCACAUCAUCAUCAUAAUGUCAGGACUCAGGGAAAAGGACUCAGGACAUUACUGGUGCAUGACCAUCAAGAAAGGCAAUGCCACUAUCCUCAAGAGAAUCCACCUGGUAGUAUCUCCAGCCCAGAACACCAACAAAGAGAUUCAGAUUACUUCAGAGGUCCCUUCCACCACUCCAGCCACCUGCAGGGUGGAACCCAGGAGAUGGAGGAUGAAGAAGAUCCUAGAGACAUCCAUUAUGCCUCAGUGACCUUCAUCAGCCCCAGGGAACCGAUGUGCACAAACACACAGAAGGCAUCCAGCUCAAAGACUCUGCAAACCCCCUUUGAGUCUGUGUAAUUGCCAGCAUCACAAGGACUGAAUAUCAGCAUGCCAAAUCAACAGCCAUAUAUGAGCCAGUGGGCAGGGAGAGUUAGUCAUCUGUAGGUGCUUAAUAAAUGCAUGUUGAUUCCUUAUAGAAAUAUGUUU